AGAAAUUUAGGUUAAUAGACCAAAAGCCUUCAAAGCUUUAAGUAGAAGUGAAAAUCCUCUAAUUUCUG
rnacentral:tRNA from 3 species